GCUUAACACAUGCAAGUCGAACGGAGCUUUUGGAAGUUCUUCGGAACAGAAGCAAGCUUAGUGGCGAACGGGUGAGUAACACGUAGACAACUUACCUUCGAGUUGGGGACAACAUCCCGAAAGGGGUGCUAAUACCGAAUGAAGCCUAUCGGUCACAUGACUGGUAGAUGAAAGAUGGCCUCUGGAUAUGCUAUCGCUUGAAGAAAGGUCUGCGCCUGAUUAGCUAGUUGGAGGGGUAAUGGCCCACCAAGGCAACGAUCAGUAGCCGGUCUGAGAGGACGAACGGCCACACUGGGACCGAGACACGGCCCAGACUCCUACGGGAGGCAGCAGUGGGGAAUCUUCCGCAAUGGACGAAAGUCUGACGGAGCGACACCGCGUGGGUGAAGAAGGCCUUCGGGUCGUAAAGCCCUGUCAUUAGGGAAGAAACGUAGUAUGAUUAAUACGCAUAUUACUUGACGGUACCUAAGGAGGAAGCCCCGGCUAACUAUGUGCCAGCAGCCGCCGUAA
rnacentral:rRNA from 1 species